ACCGGGAGAUAGCUGGUUCUCCCCGAAAGCUAUUUAGGUAGCGCCUCGUGAAUUCAUCUCCGGGGGUAGAGCACUGUUUCGGCAAGGGGGUCAUCCCGACUUACCAACCCGAUGCAAACUGCGAAUACCGGAGAAUGUUAUCACGGGAGACACACGGCGGGUGCUAACGUCCGUCGUGAAGAGGGAAACAACCCAGACCGCCAGCUAAGGUCCCAAAGUCAUGGUUAAGUGGGAAACGAUGUGGGAAGGCCCAGACAGCCAGGAUGUUGGCUUAGAAGCAGCCAUCAUUUAAAGAAAGCGUAAUAGCUCACUGGUCGAGUCGGCCUGCGCGGAAGAUGUAACGGGGCUAAACCAUGCACCGAAGCUGCGGCAGCGACGCUUAUGCGUUGUUGGGUAGGGGAGCGUUCUGUAAGCCUGCGAAGGUGUGCUGUGAGGCAUGCUGGAGGUAUCAGAAGUGCGAAUGCUGACAUAAGUAACGAUAAA
rnacentral:rRNA from 1 species